GCGGGUGUAGUUCAAUGGUAGAACACUAGCCUUCCAAGCUAGAUAUGCCGGUUCGAUCCCGGUCACCCGCUCCA
rnacentral:tRNA from 1 species